CAGUCGCCGCGGUAAUACGGAGGGUGCAAGCGUUAAUCGGAACUACUGGGCGUAAAGCGUGCGUAGGCGGUUCGUUAAGUCUGUUGUGAAAGCCCCGGGCUCAACCUGGGAACUGCAUUUGUGACUGCAUUGCUGGAGUGCGGCAGAGGGGGAUGGAAUUCCGCGUGUAGCAGUGAAAUUCGUAGAUAUUCGGAAGAACACCAGUGGCGAAGGCGGCUCACUGGCCCAUAACUGACGCUGAGGCACGAAAGCGUGGGGAGCAAACAGGAUUAGAUACCCGCGUAGUCCCUGUCUCUUAUAC
rnacentral:rRNA from 1 species